CAAAGGCCGGUGCAUCGCUUCUGAACGCCUGCCAAAUUGCAAACGGUGGCGCUUCGCGGCUCUCGGCAAUGUUGUUUUCAGGCGUUUUUAUAUUUCAACAGAAAUCCAGACUGUGGGUAAUUUGAGCUGACUGGCGCUUGACGAGAUGCAUCAGAUUUCCCGCAGAAGCCGCACCGGUGCUGCGCGACUAAAGGCCAUCUAGGGUAGCUUGCCUGUCCACCAGAAGUAGACCAACGUCCAUCUUCUGCUUUUCGAACGCAUUUAAAUGCAAGAGAGCUGCCGAGAUUUUUGUCGGGAUGAGUUUCACUGCUCUUUUCACUCACAAAUCAUCAGAUUAAAAAGUUGAAAAUGUAUUUUGUAGAAUGUUGACUAUUCCAUCU